AGAUUUCAGUUUUUUAAAUUUUUCUGCGACUCGUUGGCCGGAUCGAUUUGUAAGUUUCUUUCCUUAGUUUUAUGAUAUGAAUCAUCGAUUGAUCUUUCUCUUCGAUUAGUAGUUUAUGUAGUAGGGUUUCCAGAGUUUUAAAAUCGCGUUUAGGUUGGUUUUUAAUCCGAGAUUUGUAGUCUUCUUCAUCGAAUUAACUUCUUAGGGUUUCUGAAUUUUCUAUAAUCAAUCAAAACGAAGACGAUUGAUUAAAGCCGUGGUUUUGAUUAAUCUCUGUUAACUUCUUAGGGUUUCUUAAGUUCUUUUGUGUCGCUUUUGUGUUUUUGAUUUACUUGAUUUGAAUAUGUUUAAUUAAACGGUUUCUGGGUUUUUUGUUGUUGUUGUAGUUGUUGCAGUUGCGAUUGAAGGUUGUAUUUGGAUUAGAAGACUCAUUGUGAUCACAGAGAGUUUCCGAGAGUUUCCAACAUAAUCAUCUCUUCAGGUAAAAAUCUCUUUAUUGAGAUCUAAAAGAUCAGAAACUAUGGUCCUGAAAUUGGAAAAAAGAUAGUUACCUACGACUUUUUAACCGUUUUGUUCGGUUCAGAAACACACUAGCACGUUUGUGUCUUUAUUAUGACAAAUGUCUGAAUGGACUUGCUUGUGACAAAAGAGCCUUUUUAUUGGUUCGAAAAUCAAAUGGGGUUAUGGGAGUAGAAAAAGCCUCUGAAGGUUCAAGUUUCAGAGAUCAUACACACUAACUCGUCUGAUUUUGGAACUCUCUGUAAUGAAACAGUCUUACAGGAGUUGCCAGAAAACUGGAAAAAAACAUCAAGCAGGCUUCUAAUUGGCUUAUAAUUUGAGAGCUCAUACACAUUAAGGCCCCUGAACUGGAAUAUUUAACAGGGUCUGUAUAUUUUACAAGUGAACUAAAGCAAUCUUUUUAAUAUUUUUUAGGUAUGUUUUGGAGACUCCUGAGAGAAUUCACACUUCAAGAUAGGUAUGUGUUUCUCCUAAACUUGUUAUGAAUUAGUUUAUAUCGUUACACACUUAAUUUAUGGCAGAUGAACAAGAACCUCUCUGAAAAUGGACUCUGCAUAUUAUCAGCCCUCAGGUAUGUAAUUAUAUAAUUUUAUCAGUUUGCUUCUCUUACUUUUUUUGGUGAUGGUUAGAAACUGUUUGAUGUCAAAAUAUGAAACCAGUGUAGAGGAUAAGACAUGUGCUUCUCCUAUGUUGAUUAGUUGAUAUUGUUAUCUUAUAAAUCUGAAGUAGACAUGUGGUUCUCUUAUCGUUACUAAUGUUAUAGAUCUAUAUUAACUUAGUUGUACAUCUGAAGUGAC
rnacentral:lncRNA from 1 species